UACGUAGGGCGCAAGCGUUAUCCGGAAUUAUUGGGCGUAAAGAGCUCGUAGGCGGUCUGUCGCGUCCGUUGUGAAAACUCGAGGCUCAACCUCGGGCUUGCAGUGGAUACGGGCAGACUAGAGUGCGGUAGGGGAGACUGGAAUUCCUGGUGUAGCGGUGGAAUGCGCAGAUAUCAGGAGGAACACCGAUGGCGAAGGCAGGUCUCUGGGCCGCAACUGACGCUGAGGAGCGAAAGCAUGGGGAGCGAACAGG
rnacentral:rRNA from 1 species